UUCAACUUGACGGUCUAGGCGCGGGAAAAAAAACAACUCAGUGAUCGCCGUGCGGGGGCGAUGAAGAAAACGAAGCGUGCCGCGUGGUGAGUGCGGUGGUUCGAGGCAGCGCAUGCAAGGACAGUCAGUUCUCGGCUGGACGUCUGGUCCGGGGAACUAGACAACGUCGUCUAGGCGCUCUACCGUUCCUGGACUCCGGCUGGGCGACUGGCCCAGGGACCAGGCGAUCCGCUGCUGUUCCGGCUGCCGUUCCUGACAGCUGGACAACCGGUGAACGAGACCUGGACUCCGGCUGGGUGACUGGCCCAGGGACCAGGUGAGUUCCAUGGUUCUGGCUGCCGUCCAGAGUGGCCGCGAGUUUCGCUGCUGUGGGCCGAUGUUCCUGCUGCCGUUCCGGGUGGCUGGCGCGACCCCGGUGCGCUGCGGAGACGAACGUGGUGGCGGAGAGCUGCUGCGGAGCUACCAAGCAGCUGCCGAUACUCUACUGCUGCUGCUGCGGCAGAAGGCCGUGUCAUGGCGUGGUGCGACGCACGUUGAGGAAGGCAACGAGCCAGACGGCGCACAGCCCACGAGCGAUCGGCGCUGG
rnacentral:lncRNA from 1 species